ACAUCUAAGGACCGAAGACCCACAGACCUGCUGAGUCCCUCAGUGGUGUGGAUCAGAGCUCAGCUACAGCAGAGUGAUGGGAGCUGCCUGCACAUUCUUCCCUGCCUCGUUUGCCAGGAAAAUGGAAACGCUGGCCUGGAGAUGUGGCUAACACACACACUGGGUGUUUUCAUUUGAGCUGGGCUACUGGCAUGAGUCACAGAACUUUAGUAGAGGUAUUACUACAGUUUAUAGAAAAGCUGAAUAAAGUCCCAUGGUGAGGCGUAUGCACUGCAUUUUCACUAUCCAUUCAUCAGUUGGUGACAUCUGGGCUGAAUCCACGCACUAGCUAUUGCGAUUAGACCAGCAACGAGCAUGAACGUGUGUCUCCCCACCCACUCUGAGACUGUCUCUGACCCGGGCUGACCCCAGACUGUAUACAGCUUAACCACCUCCCAAAGGCUGGAGUUAAGGCACACACCGCUACACCCGUCUAUGCUGUACUGGGACCAGAGCCAGAGCUUUGUUCGUGACAGGGUCUCGUGUUGCCUCGAGUGACCUCAAACCCACAACGGAGCCAAGGAUGACCUUGAAUUCCCGAUCCUCUACUUCCAUGUGCUGGGAUUACAGGAACACACUGAUAUAAUGGCUUACCAUCUCCGUUUGAAAGAAUGUUCACCCCUUCCAUUACACUUUAAAUGUCAUGGGGGAAAUGUAUGAAGGUUCAAGUUCUAGCUUUUUUGCCUGCAUUGAAGUCUUAGAAAUAGGAAAAGCAAAACAAUCUUCUCCCUCAGAAAACUUUAAAUUUGAGAUU